rnacentral:rRNA from 1 species
UACGAAGGGUGCUAGCGUUGUUCGGAAUUACUGGGCGUAAAGCGCGCGUAGGCGGCUAUUCAAGUCAGAGGUGAAAUCCUUGGGCUCAACCCAAGAAUUGCCUUUGAAACUGUAUAGCUAGAGUGUCGGAGGGGAUAGCGGAAUUCCUAAUGUAGAGGUGAAAUUCGUAGAUAUUAGGAGGAACACCGGUGGCGAAGGCGGCUAUCUGGACGACUCCUGACACUGAGGCACGAAAGCUAGGGGAGCAAACAGG